CUACGGGCCGCUGCAGUGAGGAAUAUUGCACAAUGGGGGGAACCCUGAUGCAGCAACGCCGCGUGGAGGAUGACGCAUUUCGGUGUGUAAACUCCUUUUAUAUGUCAAGAAGAUGACGGUAGCAUAUGAAUAAGCACCGGCUAACUCCGUGCCAGCAGCCGCGGUAAUACGGAGGGUGCAAGCGUUACUCGGAAUCACUGGGCGUAAAGGACGCGUAGGCGGGUUGGAAAGUCAGGUGUGAAAUCCUACAGCUUAACUGUAGAACUGCACUUGAAACUUCUAAUCUAGAGUAUGGGAGGGUGGGAUGGAAUUAGUGGUGUAGGGGUAAAAUCCGUAGAUAUCACUAGGAAUACCUAAAGCGAAGGCGAUCUCCUGGAACAUUACUGACGCUAAGGCGUGAAAGCGUGGGGAGCAAACAGGAUUAGAUACCCGCGUAGUC
rnacentral:rRNA from 1 species